CUAACCGCGCGAAGGUAGCAUAAUCACUUGUCUUUUAAAUAAAGACUCGUAUCAACGGCAUCACGAGGGUUCCGCUGUCUCCUUUCUCUAAUCAGUGAAACUAAUCCCCCCGUGAAGGCUUUAAAUCUAGCUACACCCCCUAACCAUACACCCUCUCACCAACAGGAGUCCUAUAUGCUAGACUUUAGGUUGGGGCGACCACGGAGCACAACCAAACCUCCACGACGAACGAGCCUACCCUCUUACCUAAGAAGCACACUUCUAAGGGUUAGUACCCUAGCACAGCGAUCCGAUAUCGAUCAACGGACUAAGUUACCCUGGGGAUAACAGCGCAAUCCAUUUCAAGAGCCCCUAUCGACAAAUGGGUUUACGACCUCGAUGUUGGAUCAGGGUAUCCUAGUGGUGCAGCAGCUACUAAAGGUUCGUUUGUUCAACGAUUAAAACCCUACGUGAUCU
rnacentral:rRNA from 1 species